CUAAUACCGCAGUCGAACGCUGAAACACUCUGCUUGCAGAGUGUGGAUGAGUGGCGAACGGGUGAGUAACACGUGGGGAAUCUGCCUAUAAGUGGGGGAUAACAUUCGGAAACGGAUGCUAAUACCGCAUAUAUUCAAAAACCGCAUGGUUUCUGAAAGAAAGACGGCUUUGCUGUCGCUUAUAGAUGAUCCCGCGGCGUAUUAGUUAGUUGGUGGGGUAAUGGCCUACCAAGACCAUGAUACGUAGCCGACCUGAGAGGGUGAUCGGCCACACUGGGACUGAGACACGGCCCAGACUCCUACGGGAGGCAGCAGUAGGGAAUCUUCCACAAUGGGUGCAAACCUGAUGGAGCAAUGCCGCGUGAAUGAAGAAGGUCUUCGGAUCGUAAAGUUCUGUUAUUAGAGAAGAACAAGUCAAGGAGUAACUGCCUUGACUUUGACGGUACCUAACCAGAAAGUCACGGCUAACUACGUGCCAGCAGCCGCGGUAAUACGUAGGUGACAAGCGUUGUCCGGAAUUAUUGGGCGUAAAGGGAGCGCAGGCGGUUGGAAUAGUCUGAUGUGAAAGCCCACGGCUUAACCGUGGAAGGUCAUUGGAAACUGUCCAACUUGAAUGCAGAAGAGGUAAGUGGAAUUCCAUGUGUAGCGGUGAAAUGCGUAGAUAUAUGGAGGAACACCAGUGGCGAAGGCGAC
rnacentral:rRNA from 1 species